UGUGGGUCAAAUUCAUUCACGUCAGGACACAGAUGAGAUGGGAUAAAAGGUGUUGGAGAAUUACUACAUAUAGGGAAGAAAGCAGAGGAAGGCAUUGAGGCUCACGGACUCCUAGCUUGGAGCCGAUGGUACAAAGCUACGCUGUUACCCAAGACAGGUCACAGACUGAGGAAGAACUUUGCAGGAGGAAGGCAAUAAAUUCAGCUGUACACCUGUGAAGCCUACAGACAUCCAGGGAUGAUGCCAGGUUAUCAAAGAGUCUUCAGUUUGGUGGAGGACGGAUUUGCUCUAAAGCUCUUUGGAAGGAGAAAGAGAAGCAUUCUGCAGGAACCCUAGAAAUGAAACGCAACCAGCAAGCUGCCAUUUGUCCAGAGAAGCUCACACUCCCUGGGAAUUGGAAUAUUGGGUCUCAACCUGAAGAGUAGCUGGACAGAGACAGGAAUUCACAAAUAAAAGCUUUAAAAGAUAA